rnacentral:misc_RNA from 1 species
GCAAGCUACAAGUAAGCCAUUAGUCAUAAAUAUCCAAAUAGCGGUGAAACUUGCGAUACCGAGCACAGGAAGUGGGUGAUGUAGUGAACUUCCUACCCGGAGUUCAUUUUUUUCCUCGGAUGGUGAUGGUUAUGACUUCUCUUUCUUGGUAGUCUAAUAUGCUUUGCAUCCAAUGGAGUACUUGCUUUCGCUUUUGACUCCAGA